rnacentral:lncRNA from 1 species
AGUCUAUAAAGAUGUGCUGGAGUCAAACAGUGUCCCAACCUCAUGCGUGUGAUGCAGCUAAAAACUUUCUGUCAAUAUAUUUGUGUUGAUGAUACCAAGGUUUCGUUGGUAUUGUCCCAUGUACAAGUGAAGGAGCAGUGACUACAUUAGAUGAGACUGGUUCUAUGUCCAGAGGACUCAAUUCGAGUUGUUUGUGAAGAAUGCUAUUGUUUAAGGAUACUAUUUUCAAAUAAAAUCUUUGGGCCAACUGUAAUCUACGCAAAACCAGAGGAGGAGAGACACAGUAUGAUGAUGGUUGCACAUUUAUCUCAAGAAAAGUUGGAAGGUGGUAACUACCCAUUGGGUCAUCAUGAACAUACCAAUUGCAAAGAUGAGCAAUAGAAGAACUAGUAAGAGCCAAAUCUAAUGCAGCAGCCUGUCUACCAGGAUAAGGGACCGUUGUUGUAGAUCCAUCAUUUAAAAUGCAUAAAUCACAAUCAUCUAUAAGGUUAAACAAGCAUUUACCCCUAUUGUUGUCAUAAUUAGAUCCAAAAGCCAUGUGAUGAGCAUUAAAAUCACCCAUUAUAACACAAGGCCUUGGUAAGGAAUUUAUAAGUCUCUUCAAUUUUAAAUCAUCAAAUUGAUUAGUGGGUGGACAAUAAAUACAAAGUAAAUAUAUACAGCUUGUGCCAGUUUUAAUGAAAUACAUAUAUUUUGUAUGGACUCAUGAUACAAAGUGUCUAUUAUACUGUACUGUAAACCAUGUUUGAUUAGUAUACCGACUCCAUGAUGAGGGUUUUUGGAUACUUUAUAAUGAAAA